GUGUUGUAUGAAAGAAGACAAGGUUAUUCUGUUUUGUCAAGGAUGGAAGAAACCCUUAGGCCUGACCACACGCAUAUUGUUAAGAUAUCACAUAGCAUCUAACCAUUGACUUUU
ensembl:snRNA